AUUGAACGCUGGCGGCAUGCUUUACACAUGCAAGUCGAACGGCAGCGCGGGCUUCGGCCUGGCGGCGAGUGGCGAACGGGUGAGUAAUACAUCGGAACGUGCCCAGUAGUGGGGGAUAGCUCGGCGAAAGCCGGAUUAAUACCGCAUACGACCUGAGGGUGAAAGCGGGGGAUCUUCGGACCUCGCGCUCUUGGAGCGGCCGAUGGCAGAUUAGCUAGUUGGUGGGGUAAAGGCCUACCAAGGCGACGAUCUGUAGCUGGUCUGAGAGGACGACCAGCCACACUGGGACUGAGACACGGCCCAGACUCCUACGGGAGGCAGCAGUGGGGAAUUUUGGACAAUGGGCGAAAGCCUGAUCCAGCAAUGCCGCGUGUGUGAUGAAGGCCUUCGGGUUGUAAAGCACUUUUGGCGGGAACGAAAAGGACUGUGCCAAUACCAUGGUUCGAUGACGGUACCCGCAGAAUAAGCACCGGCUAACUACGUG
rnacentral:rRNA from 1 species